rnacentral:ncRNA from 2 species
ACGGUUCGCCCCUCUCUAGGUGCCCCGGCGCUCAGCCGCCGGGGAUAAUCGGGAAGCCGGUGCGCGAAUCGACAUUCGCAAGGCCGGCACUGCCCCCGCAACGGUAGGCGGAGACGGGCGGAUCCAAUGCCACUGCGGCGCAUCCCCGGGAUGCCCGCGGGAAGGCGAUCCGCCCUGGAUGCAUCGCGCAUCCACUUCGCGAGUCCGGAGACCGGCCUGGACGACACCCGACGC